rnacentral:rRNA from 1 species
UACAGAGGUCCCAAGCGUUGUUCGGAUUCACUGGGCGUAAAGGGUGCGUAGGUGGUUGGGGUAAGUCUGAUGUGAAAUCUCCGAGCUUAACUCGGAAAUGGCAUUGGAUACUAUUCGGCUAGAGGGUUUGAGGGGGGACUGGAAUACUUGGUGUAGCAGUGAAAUGCGUAGAUAUCAAGUGGAACACCAGGUGGCGAAGGCGAGUCCCUGGAAAACGUCCUGACACUGAGGCA